rnacentral:lncRNA from 1 species
UGGGAGGUGGAGGCUGGUGUAUGUUCUAAGCUCUUGGUGAAACUCAGGUAUGUAUCCCCUGAUGGCCAUCAUCACAAACAGGAUGCUCACCCAGCUGAACCUUUCCUGAUCCUGUACAGCUGUUCUACAAAUCCAUCGAAUAUCUGUGGUGAAAAACUCACACUACCUUUAAAUUCUCCAGGUCUCAUCCCAGUUAGGAGGCAUCAGUGCUGCAAUAGUUGGCAAGGUUUUAACGGAAACACACGUCCUCUUACAAGGAUUUCCUUGACACCUUUAAAUUCAGCUGAAUCGAGGGAACAGGGCUCAAGUUCCUCCUCAAAUCCCCUACUUGAAAUUAAUUUCCCCCACUGACCUCAAAAUUGGUCGGUGGAAACUCCCUUCAGGACCUGACAUAGCUCUUUUCACCAAGCGUGGAUCCAGGGCAGGGGUUUCCUUAUCCCCAUUUUAAGUAAACAGCUUAAUUCUCAUUUAGACUGAGCUCUUCAGUACGUGCUAUGGCAGUGUUUUAACUAUCUGCAUUGGUACAGUUAAUUUCUUUCACAAACUUUUUCUUACAAAUUCUUAAUGUCCAGCUACCCUUUUAUUUAAUUAUUUUUUGUUAUUCCUCCUUGGCCAGACGAGGUUUUUUGGAAGGAAUUACGUUUUCCAGAUCUUUCCCCUGCAUCUGGCCAUUCAGCUAUCUCACCUAACACUAGAUUAAGGUGUGUACCCAGAGAGCUUAUCUUCCCUUCAGGUGAACUAAUACAAAAUUUCCAUGGACUCUACCUUUUGCCAAAUGUUGCCACAAACCAAAUGUUCAUUUCUUUAAGCGUUUCUCCAAUGUCCACUGUAUAGGUCUAGUGCCUCUUACAUAUUCCUUAUAUUCCUUAGUGGUCACUUUUUUGCCAGUUUGUGUUUUGUUUGUUUUUUUUUUUUUAAUUUUGCAGGUCUCUAUUUCUUAUUGUCUGUAGUCAUUUUCUGCCCCCACCUUGCAACUUUUUGCUCUCUAUCCUUCUCCUUUGAUGUCCUAUAAACUUAGUUUUUGAUAGAAAAAAAAAUAUUUUCAUCUCUAAUAUGUAUUUUUUUCUCUGG